rnacentral:rRNA from 1 species
UACGAAGGGUGCAAGCGUUAAUCGGAAUUACUGGGCGUAAAGCGUGCGUAGGCGGUUUGUUAAGUCUGUUGUGAAAUCCCCGGGCUCAACCUGGGAAUGGCAAUGGAUACUGGCAAGCUAGAGUGUGUCAGAGGAUGGUGGAAUUCCCGGUGUAGCGGUGAAAUGCGUAGAGAUCGGGAGGAACACCAGUGGCGAAGGCGGCGAUCUGGGAAGAUACUGACGCUGAGGUGCGAAAGCGUGGGGAGCAAACAGG